rnacentral:lncRNA from 1 species
UUCACCCCGACCACCCCGACCCAAAACCACCGUUUUUUGUAUAGUGAUCCCCCGCAAGAGAGUACCCCUUUUCUGAGCAGGAAAAUAGCCAUAGUGGAGUAACCAGGGGUCUAUGACUCUGGUUUUUCAAUCCAAAUUGGAAUUGAGAGCGAACGCGCAACCACCAUUUUAAAAUAUGGCGGCGGAGGGAACGGGUUCGCACCAGAAAACAGCCCCUUCACAUCGCAUGCUGGAGAAAGCUCUUCUCUGAUCGUCCUUUUUUGGGGGAUAGCAUGCGGUGUCCCCGAUAACAGACGACUGUGGCCAAGCCCUAUACAUUCAUUUACUAUAAUUUCCCAGAAGUUGGUGUUUUGAAGAUGAUGCCGUUGAAAUGGAAACAUCAGGUAUGUUACGCAAAGGUGACGAAGGCUGGUUACGAUUGUUGCUUACACGAGACUCUGUUACUUUUCUGUUGCCUUCACCAAUACUAUGGUUGCUGCUGCUACUGUGAUCUCGCUGGUGAUGUUUAUUGCUAUUUUUUUCAGUUUUGUUUGAGGUCUGUGCACUCAAUCCAUGUCCAUCACCCAUUACAGGAGCCAACUCACGAUGCAUAAUGAAUUCGUUAUGUGAUCGGCCUUGAAACGAGUAAGACGUAGUGGUUACUAGUUGAAAGCCAAGUUUCUCCAGCCCGUCAAGGAUCAGUCUUAAUUCACAAUGGGUAGCUACAGCUCCCUUGGCCUCAGGUUUUUUCGAUACACCUCGUUGAUUCACGUGGUGCUGGUGUUGCUCCUGUUCACGAAGGAAACUAUGUAUCUCUGGAUCUAAUUCCGGUGAAUAAUCCAAGUUGAUGGGCAACGAAGAAUCCUGAAAAAUCACGUGGUAUUAUUGAAUUUUUUAUCAGCCAACUGCUCCGUGCCAGAGAAACUGGUAAGAUAAAGGGGCCUUAUCACGUAUGAUUUUAGUCUGAUGACGGCAUUGUCGUGUAACAAAGCAUACUUCAAACAUGACUCAUAACAAAUGGAAGUACUGCAUAUACUACAGUAAAACGGAAAAAAGUCAAAUGGCACACGACAGAAAUCCUUUAAAAUGCUGGAUACUACACGUGUCCAGCAGAGAAUGGUACUACGUCUUACAUUUUGUACAAAUAGCUUUACAGUUAAUAAUUUUACCCUUCAAAUACGUGGUAGGGAAAAAAAGGUUAUUAUUUUAUAUACAGUUUUGUUACUCUUACCCAUCCACCGGACUGCACCGUUACAAAAAUAUACGGCAUCGUUUCUUUGUUGAGUA